UUAGCUCAGUUGGAAGAGCGUUCCACUGGAAAUGGAGAAGUCCCUGGUUCGAUACCAGGA
rfam:Ixodes scapularis strain Wikel colony gcontig_1107729019546, whole genome shotgun sequence.